UUGAGUUUCUCUAGGAAGUACAAGCUUGGUUAUGAAGUUUGUCGUUGUAAAGACCCUCACGAGCGGAUAGGGUUUUGGUCGAGAAAAAUCCCGUUCGACCAGUUCGGAGUUGGUUCGACCAGAAUUAAAAAUAAAAAUCGACCCGGUAAAUUAUUCUUGAUGGGACUGUCUCGAGGCCAAAGUACCUACUCUUAAUAGUUCUGACCAAGUGUUAAUUAUUAUGGUCGAGUUUUAUCUAAGCUGGACGAGAACCGAUGGACGGGAAACAUUUUAUCGAAAACUGAUCUUGAAUACUUUCAGUUGCUUGCGAGUCAUGUGCAUGUCAUGUGCUGCCUGGCUGCUUGCUUCCUUCCUGACCUGAACAUGUGACUUGCACCUUCCAGCUUGUUUGCUACAUUAAAUUCAUGUGAGUUGCACACCUGCUUGAAGUUUCUUCAUGGAAAAGAAAUGACAUUACUUCAUGGGAAGGAAAGUGUGAUUCAGCUCACCACAUGUCUCAUACUGAUCUGAAACUUUUGUCCUUUCUUGCUGACUCUUCUCCUGCUGUUUCCCCUGUCAUUUAUUACAUUGUCCUCUUCCUGGUCGAGCUCAUUCAUCUCAGAAACAAGAAAGAAAAAUUCAGAGAGAAAGAGAGAAAGAAAGAGAGAAAAAUCUGUGAGGAAAAUACAUGAAAAAUUCAGAAAAAAAUAAGAGAAGAGAAGGGAGCUUGGACAACCCUUUCUCACCAUCUUGUGACUUUAAUCAGUGAGUAUUUGUGUGGUAAAGAGUUGGAGAUUUGGUGUCCUGAAGUUGAGAAUCACCCAUGUUCUUCAGCCUUUGAUUUUAAUCGGUAAAGAUGUUUGGCGUGGCUUCAUCUUAAAGUGGAGUAUCAGUUAUAUUCAGACAGUGUUUGAUUUGAACCGAUGGUCAAGGAUAGUGUUCGGAUCAGUCGGAUUCUUGUGGUGAUUUUAAUCCGAGAAUAUUCCAGAAGCCGAGUGUGAUUAGCUUGAGCUCGAGUAUAGUCUUCCUUAGCCAAUCUCAUGGAAUCAAAGGUAACCAGUAGACGGGAGACCUUACUUUAGGAUGGGAAGGAACAUCAUUAGCCAGCGGCUAUGUGAAGAAGGUUUUGGAGAUGUCCAGAAACAGAGCAACAACAACAUUUGUUAUGAGCUAACAUUACAGAUGAAGCUUCAGCCAUAUUAAGAAGGUGAUCCAGUGGAAAAAAUAAGGAGAAUAACCACAUGCUCUUUGUUUAAAAGUUAUGUUGACCACAUUGUGAUAUGUCUCCACUUUUUUUUAGACCGAUUAGUCUCCACUUUGAUUGAUAAUUCUGUCAAAUGAUAGGAAAUAAUGUGUAACCGAUAUACAUAAGAUAGUUAUGCAGA